rnacentral:tRNA from 1 species
UGGGAAGUACGCAAACUGGCAAAGCGGCUUGACUCUGAAUCAAGUGCCUGGGGGUUCGAAGCCCUCCUUCCCAG